rnacentral:lncRNA from 1 species
CACUGUCUGCAAAUGAGUGGAUACCGUUUUGCAACUAAUUUAUUUGCAAUGUUUGCUAAAGGGAAGUGGCUGGGGAAGUAGUCAGGGAAGUGGUCCAGGUCAGGGAAGUGGCUGGGGAAGUAGUCAGGGAAGUGGUCAGGGAAGUGGCUGGGGAAGUAGUCAGGGAAGUGGUCCAGGUCAGGGAAGUGGCUGGGGAAGUAGUCAGGGAAGUGGUCCAGGUCAGGGAAGUGGCUGGGGAAGUAGUCAGGGAAGUGGUCCAGGAAGUGGUCAAGGAAGUGGUCAAGGUCAGGAAAGUGGUUGGGGAAGUGGCUGGGGAAGUAGUCAAGGUCAAGGAAGUGGUCAGGAAAGUGGUCCUGGUUGGGGAAGUGGCUGGGGAAGUAGUCAGGGAAGUGGUCCAAUUCAGUGCUUUAUUCAUAUGGCAUGUUUUCCAUGUUUGCUCAAACAGUUAAGAGAUUUCUGUCUUUCUCUUGGCCCCUCCCCCCCACCCCCAAAAAAAAUUAAAAGAAUUGCGAUUUGAGGAGUUGAUGGAGGUGUGUGUGUGUGGUUUUUGUUUAUUGCAAAUGAUUUAUUCUGAAGCCAU